ACGGAAGGCAGCAGUGGGGAAUAUUGCACAAUGGGCGCAAGCCUGAUGCAGCGAUGCCGCGUGAGGGAAGAAGGUUUUCGGAUUGUAAACCUCUGUCAACAGGGACGAAAAUGACGGUACCUGUGAAGGAAGCUCCGGCUAACUACGUGCCAGCAGCCGCGGUAAUACGUAGGGAGCAAGCGUUAUCCGGAAUUACUGGGUGUAAAGGGAGCGUAGGCGGGAUGGCAAGUCAGAUGUGAAAACUAUGGGCUCAACCCAUAGACUGCAUUUGAAACUGUUGUUCUUGAGUGAAGUAGAGGUAAGCGGAAUUCCUAGUGUAGCGGUGAAAUGCGUAGAUAUUAGGAGGAACAUCGGUGGCGAAGGCGGCUUACUGGGCUUUUACUGACGCUGAGGCUCGAAAGCGUGGGGAGCAAACAGGAUUAGAUACCCUGGUA
rnacentral:rRNA from 1 species